rnacentral:rRNA from 1 species
GACGAACGCUGGCGGCGUGCUUAACACAUGCAAGUCGAACGAAGUGGCGAACGGGUGAGUAAUACGUGGGUAACCUGCCCUCCUUUUUGGGAUAAGCCUUGGAAACGGGGUCUAAUACCGAAUACAGGGGGAUGGGCGCGCGGCCUAUCAGCUUGUUGGUGGGGGGAUGGUCUACCAAGGCGGUGACGGGUAGCCGGCCUGAGAGGGUGACGGGCCACAUUGGGACUGAGAUACGGCCCAGACGCCUACGCGAGGGAGCAGUGGGGGAUAUUGCACAAGGGGCGAAAGCCUGAUGCAGCGACGCCGCGUAGGGGAUGAAGGCUUUCGGGUUGGAAACCUCUUUCGAUAUCGAACGGGUAGGUAGAGAAGAAGCGCCGGCUAACUACGUGCCAGCAGCCGCGGUAAUUC